UACGGAGGGGGCUAGCGUUGUUCGGAAUUACUGGGCGUAAAGCGCACGUAGGCGGCGAUUUAAGUCAGAGGUGAAAGCCCGGGGCUCAACCCCGGAACUGCCUUUGAGACUGGAUUGCUUGAAUCCGGGAGAGGUGAGUGGAAUUCCGAGUGUAGAGGUGAAAUUCGUAGAUAUUCGGAAGAACACCAGUGGCGAAGGCGGCUCACUGGACCGGCAUUGACGCUGAGGUGCGAAAGCGUGGGGAGCAAACAGG
rnacentral:rRNA from 1 species